AGGCGGUCAUGUUAGUCGUUCGUAAAAUCCGUGGGCUCAACCUACGGCCGGCGAGCGAAACGGCAUGACUAGAGGUAGGGAGAGGUGCGUGGAACUCACGGUGUAGGGGUGAAAUCCGUUGAUAUCGUGGGGAACACCAAAGGCGAAGGCAGCGCACUGGCCCUAAUCUGACGCUCACACACGAAAGCCAGGGUAGCGAAUGGGAUUUGAUACCCCAGUAGUCCUGGCCCUAAACGCUGCUCGCUCGUUCUGCGGAGUAUCGACCCUCUGCGGGACUAAGCUAACGCGGUAAGCGAGCCGCCUGGGUAGUACGAGCGCAAGCUUAAAACUCAAAGGAAUAGACGGGGACUCGCACAAGCGGUGGAUCAUGUGGCUUAAUUCGUCGAUAAGCGAAGAACCUUACCCAGGCUAGAAACCAAGCUGCAUCUCUUUCGAAAGAUUGAGAGCCUUCGAGGGUGCUUGGCAGGUGAUGCAUGGUUGUCGUCAGUUCGUGGCUUGAGCUGUUCCCUUCAGUGGGGUAACGAACGCAACCCUCGUUGUCUGUUAUAUAUGUCAGGCGAGACUGCCCCCUCACGGGGGAGGAAGGUGAGGAUGACGCCAAAUCAGCAUG
rnacentral:rRNA from 1 species